GCCUGGUUAGCACUUGGAUGGGAGACCACUGGGAAUACCAGGU
rnacentral:rRNA from 1 species